GACGAACGCUGGCGGCGUGCUUAACACAUGCAAGUCGAGCGGUAAGGCCCUUUCGGGGGUACACGAGCGGCGAACGGGUGAGUAACACGUGGGUGACCUGCCCUCAGCUCUGGGAUAAGCCUGGGAAACCGGGUCUAAUACUGGAUAUGACUCCAUGACGCAUGUUGUGGGGUGGAAAGCCUUGUGCGGCUGAGGAUGGGCCCGCGGCCUAUCAGCUUGUUGGUGGGGUGANGGCCUACCAAGGCGACGACGGGUAGCCGGCCUGAGAGGGCGACCGGCCACACUGGGACUGAGACACGGCCCAGACUCCUACGGGAGGCAGCAGUGGGGAAUCUUGCGCAAUGGGCGAAAGCCUGACGCG
rnacentral:rRNA from 1 species